rnacentral:ncRNA from 2 species
AAUGUUUUGUAUUGUUACACUCAUAUAUGCCUAUAAUAUGGAUAGGCGUCUCUACAAAGUUGCCGUAAAUGACUUAACUAUGAGUGAAGAGAAAAAUAGU